rnacentral:rRNA from 1 species
GACGAACGCUGGCGGCGUGCCUAAUACAUGCAAGUAGAACGCUGAAGGAGGAGCUUGCUUCUCCGGAUGAGUUGCGAACGGGUGAGUAACGCGUAGGUAACCUGCCUGGUAGCGGGGGAUAACUAUUGGAAACGAUAGCUAAUACCGCAUAAGAGUAGAUGUUGCACGACAUUUGCUUAAAAGGUGCAAUUGCAUCACUACCAGAUGGACCUGCGUUGUAUUAGCUAGUUGGUGGGGUAACGGCUCACCAAGGCGACGAUACAUAGCCGACCUGAGAGGGUGAUCGGCCACACUGGGACUGAGACACGGCCCAGACUCCUACGGGAGGCAGCAGUAGGGAAUCUUCGGCAAUGGACGGAAGUCUGACCGAGCAACGCCGCGUGAGUGAAGAAGGUUUUCGGAUCGUAAAGCUCUGUUGUAAGAGAAGAACGAGUGUGAGAGUGGAAAGUUCACACUGUGACGGUAUCUUACCAGAAAGGGACGGCUAACUACGUGC